rnacentral:tRNA from 1 species
AGGGUCAUAGCUCGGUGGGUAGAGUGUUUGCCUAGCAUGCUAGGCCUUGGGUUCAAUCCCCAACAACUCAU